rnacentral:misc_RNA from 1 species
GAAAUGCGAUAACUAAUGUGAAUUGCAGAAUUCAGUGAAUCAUCGAGUCUUUGAACGCACAUUGCGCCCCCUGGUAUUCCGGGGGGCAUGCCUGUCCGAGCGUCAUUGCUGCCCUCAAGCCCGGCUUGUGUGUUGGGCCCUCGUCCCCCGGCUCCCGGGGGACGGGCCCGAAGGGCAGCGGCGGCACCGCGUCCGGUCCUCGAGCGUAUGGGGCUUCGUCUUCCGCUCCGUAGGCCCGGCCGGCGCCCGCCGACGCAUUUAUUUGCAACUUGUUUUUUUCCAGGUUGACCUCGGAUCAGGUAGGGAUACCCGCUGAACUUAAGC